rnacentral:rRNA from 1 species
GUCUGGUGCCAGCAGCCGCGGUAAUUCCAGCUCCAAUAGCGUAUAUUAAAGUUGUUGUGGUUAAAAAGCUCGUAGUUGGAUCUCGGCGGACAGAAGUCGGUCCGAAUGCUUUUGGCACUGGCUUGUUUGUCCGUGUGUUUUGCCAGAGGCAAGCGGGUGCUCUUCGCCGAGUGUCCGUUUGUGCUGGCAGGUUUACUUUGAAAAAAUUAGAGUGCUCAAAGCAAGCUCUCACGCUUGAAUAUUCGUGCAUGGAAUAAUAGAAUAGGAUGUCGUUUCUAUUUUGUUGGUUUUCGGAAAUCGACAUAAUGAUUAAUAGGGACAGUCGGGGGCAUUCGUACUGCGGCGACAGAGA